AUCUAUGGCCAUACUACCCUGAACGCACCCAAUAUCUUCUCAUCUCAGAAGCUAAGCAGGGUGGGGGCUGGUUAGUACUAGGAUGGGAGAAUCCUUAUCUCAUGUAGC
ensembl:rRNA 5S_rRNA 5S ribosomal RNA